GCGGGAUUAGCUCAGUGGUAGAGCGGAAGCCUUCCAAGCUUCGCGUCGCCGGUUCAAUCCCGGCAUCCCGCUCCA
rnacentral:tRNA from 1 species